GAAUAUCCGUAUCAACCGAAAAUCAUGGUUAUGAAAAUAUCGCGUUACUUCGUACGAAGUUACAGUGACGUGACUUUUGGUUUCGUUUUCUAUGCCGGAAUCGAACAUAGUGCCGCAAAUAUUAUCGGCUAGCGAAAGAUGGUGAAAAGAUUCUUUAAAGAGGAUGAGGAAGGAUUCCUCCUGACUCACAUGUUGGAAAAGGGCUACCAUCGCACCAGGAAACAUGCGACGAAGGACGCCAUUAUCACGGAGCUGAUAGAGGAGAUGGAAGAAAAAUUUCAUCGGAGGCCCACAAAGGCAUCUAUU